rnacentral:rRNA from 1 species
GACGAACGCUGGCGGCGUGCUUAACACAUGCAAGUCGAACGGAAAGGCCCCUUUGGGGGUACUCGAGUGGCGAACGGGUGAGUAACACGUGAGUAACCUGCCCUUGACUUCGGGAUAACUUCAGGAAACUGGGGCUAAUACCGGAUAGGAAUCCUUGCUGCAUGGUGGGGGUUGGAAAGCUUCGGCGGUUUUGGAUGGACUCGCGGCUUAUCAGCUUGCUGGUGGGGUAGUGGCUUACCAAGGCUUUGACGGGUAGCCGGCCUGAGAGGGCGACCGGCCACAUUGGGACUGAGAUACGGCCCAGACUCCUACGGGAGGCAGCAGUGGGGAAUAUUGCACAAUGGGCGGAAGCCUGAUGCAGCAACGCCGCGUGCGGGAUGACGGCCUUCGGGUUGUAAACCGCUUUCAGCAGGGGCGAAGCUUGUGGUGACGGUACCUGCAGAAGAAGCACCGGCUAACUACGUG